rnacentral:piRNA from 1 species
UCAAGCCGCGAGGGCGUUGAAUUGUCCGGA